AGAUUGAACGCUGGCGGCAGGCCUAACACAUGCAAGUCGAGCGCGAAAGUUCCUUCGGGAAUGAGUAGAGCGGCGGACGGGUGAGUAACGCGUAGGAAUUUGCCCAGUAGUGGGGGACAACUCGGGGAAACUCGAGCUAAUACCGCAUACGCCCCAAGGGGGAAAGCAGGGGAUCUUCGGACCUUGCGCUAUUGGAUAAGCCUGCGUCGGAUUAGCUAGUUGGUGGGGUAAGGCCUACCAAGGCAACGAUCCGUAGCUGGUCUGAGAGGAUGAUCAGCCACACUGGGACUGAGACACGGCCCAGACUCCUACGGGAGGCAGCAGUGGGAAUAUUGGACAAGUGGGGGCAACCCUGAUCCAGCCAUGCCGCGUGUGUGAAGAAGGCCUUAGGGUUGUAAAGCACUUUCGAGUGGGAGAAAGCUGGCGACUAAUAGUCCGUCGGCCCUGACGUUACCCGAC
rnacentral:rRNA from 1 species